GACGAAGGGGGGCUAGCGUUGUUCGGAAUUACUGGGCGUAAAGCGCGUGUAGGCGGUUGUCCAAGUUGGAUGUGAAAAGCCUUGAGCUUAACUCAAGAAAUGCAUUCAGGACUGGAUGACUAGAGGACCGGAGAGGAUAGUGGAAUUCCCAGUGUAGUGGUGAAAUACGUAGAGAUUGGGAAGAACACCAGUGGCGAAGGCGGCUAUCUGGACGGUUUCUGACGCUAAGACGCGAAAGCGUGGGGAGCAAACAGG
rnacentral:rRNA from 1 species